CGAGGCCGUCAAGUAAAGGUGGACGUUUGCUCCCCAAAGAAGGAAAUAGCCAUCAUUUUUCUUGAGAAACUACAACUGCAGGGAGAAAAAUGAAAGGUGAUGAAAUUAUGUGGCGGGUUUUAAUUGCCAUGCUAAUUCUCUGGAUAAUUCAGGAACACAAGCCCAGACACUGAAUUGUCUAGAUUAUCUGUCAUCAUCUGAAUCUGAAUUUGCUUAUUCCACAGAUACAUUAGCCAGCCCUUCGUUUUUCCCUUAGUUGUUUAAAACUGGUUUGGAGUGUUUAGAGCAGCAUAGCUCACAUGUGGUCUUUCCUCCCCGGUGGUGGAGAUCCCAGGCUCUGACCUCAGCUGGAUGUCGGGGAGAAAAAGUCAGGCAGAGAGAGUGGGCAGAACUUCCUGGAGUUGAAGAGCACUGGGAGCCUGAGGUCAGGGACCCGAUGGAGGAGUCCUGGAAGCAAGGACGGAGAGCAAGCUUCUCGAUUGACAGCACAGAGACGGGGCUCAGAGCACAGGCUGGAGCCUGUCUAAUUGCGAAUCCUGACUCCAGACCUUACUGGCUGUAUGACCUGUAUCAAGACUACUUCCACUUUCUCUGCCUCCAUCUCAUGAUUUUCACGGUGGAGACCUUCACAGCGCUUCCCUCCAAGGGCUGUUGUCGGAUGUAGUGAAUAAAUGCAUGGAAAGCGCCUCAGAUGGCAGUGGCCCGUGUUAACCAGGAUGUGUUUGCUAUGAUUGUUCUGUUUGUAUUUCUGGGUCACCUCUGAAUGCUUGGUUGGGCCUCAGUUGUCUUGCAGGCUCCUUCUUUUUUUCCCAGUUCC
rnacentral:lncRNA from 1 species